GAUGAACGCUGGCGGCGUGCCUAAUACAUGCAAGUCGAGCGAACGGACGAGAAGCUUGCUUCUCUGAUGUUAGCGGCGGACGGGUGAGUAACACGUGGAUAACCUACCUAUAAGACUGGGAUAACUUCGGGAAACCGGAGCUAAUACCGGAUAAUAUUUUGAACCGCAUGGUUCAAAAGUGAAAGACGGUCUUGCUGUCACUUAUAGAUGGAUCCGCGCUGCAUUAGCUAGUUGGUAAGGUAACGGCUUACCAAGGCAACGAUGCAUAGCCGACCUGAGAGGGUGACGGCCCAACAGGAAAUGAGAACCGGGCCAAGCCCCCACGGGAGGGCAGAAGAGGGAAUUUUCCCGAAAGGGGGGAAGCCUGAACGAGGCAAGGCCGGGGGAGGAAGAAGGGUCUCGGAACGGAAAACCUUUUUUAUAAGGGAAAAAAAUUGGUUAAAGUAACGGUCAACACUUGGCCGUAACUAAACAAAAAGCCCCGGCCAACCUAGU
rnacentral:rRNA from 1 species